UGGAAGCAGUUUGGCCUUGGAGGUA
rnacentral:piRNA from 1 species